ACAAAUUACUUUACACGAGCCUCAAACCUUCCCCCAAUCUCUUAUUUUGACGGCGGUGGUGGCGAUAAGAAAGAGAAAGAGAAGAGAAAAGAACCAAAAGACGCAAUUUUGACCUAGCAAGUUUAGCCGUUGUUAAAAUCGUCGCCGUCGAGAGAAAUUACUUGGAGAUUUUAGAUAACCAUUGCUGUAAUUGGGGCUUAAUUAGCCUCGGGUUGUACGGAUUCGGGUCUGGUAUGGGAAUUGUGGAAGAUGGGGUGGUG
rnacentral:lncRNA from 1 species